UGGGGAAUAUUGGACAAUGGGCGGAAGCCUGAUCCAGCCAUGCCGUGUGUGUGAAGAAGGCCUUUUGGUUGUAAAUCACUUUAAGCGAGGAGGAGGCUACUUGGAUUAAUACUCUAGGAUAGUGGACGUUACUCGCAGAAUAAGCACCGGCUAACUCUGUGCCAGCAGCCGCGGUAAUACAGAGGGUGCGAGCGUUAAUCGGAUUUACUGGGCGUAAAGCGUGCGUAGGCGGCUUCUUAAGUCGGAUGUGAAAUCCCUGAGCUUAACUUAGGAAUUGCAUUCGAUACUGGGAAGCUAGAGUAUGGGAGAGGAUGGUAGAAUUCCAGGUGUAGCGGUGAAAUGAGUAGAGAUCUGGAGGAAGAACGAUGGCGAAGGCAGCCAUCUGGCCUAAUACUGACGCUGAGGUACGAAAGCAUGGGGAGCAAACAGG
rnacentral:rRNA from 1 species